AAAGGCGGNUCCUAAUACGAUCUGCUGUUGACGUGAACCCAAGAAGAAGCACCGGCUAACUCCGUGCCAGCAGCCGCGGUAAUACGGGGGGUGCAAGCGUUAAUCGGAAUCACUGGGCGUAAAGGGUGCGUAGGCGGUACGUUAGGUCUGUCGUGAAAUCCCCGGGCUCAACCUGGGAAUGGCGGUAGAAACCGGCGNACUAGAGUAUGGGAGAGGGUGGUGGAAUUCCAGGUGUAGCGGUGAAAUGCGUAGAGAUCUGGAGGAACAUCAGUGGCGAAGGCGGCCACCUGGCCCAAUACUGACGCUGAGGCACGAAAGCGUGGGGAGCAAACAGGAUUAGAUACCCUGGUAGUCCACGCCCUAAACGAUGAAUACUAGAUGUUUGGUACCUAGCGUACUGAGUGUCGUAGCUAACGCGA
rnacentral:rRNA from 1 species